rnacentral:ncRNA from 2 species
GCCCCUAUGCGCCUGUCUGGUGCCCGCAACACGCGGGAGAAUCGGGAAUCCGGUGAAAAUCCGGAACGUGCCCAACGCUGUGAAGGGGAUGGUCCGCGCGACACGCCACUGGGAAAGCCCGGGAAGGCGCGCGGGGCAGAUGAUCCGAAGUCAGAAGACCGGCCGGACGUCAUAGCCUUAC